rnacentral:tRNA from 1 species
GGACGGUUAGCUUAUCGGUUAGAGCUUCGUGUUGCGCAACCAAUUCAAAACGAGUGGGAGGGGUUCGAUUCCUCUACCGUCCACAA